GGGGCUGACAUGGCUUUGACAGCGUGAUGAGGUGGUGAGUAAGCAUGCAGAGCGAUGAUGGCAAUGCUCUCGAAUCUCAGUCAUCACUAAAUUUUAAAUGGCGCAAAUAACUACGCUCUCGCUGCCUAACCGAAGCACAGUAGGUUAAGCUUCAUCUCUGAGCAAGGCUUGGAGACGAGACAUCACCCGAUUGCCGUUGUUCCGAGGCGUUUCGAAAAGGUGGUGCAGGAAUAUCGGGAAUAGAGAAUGGCUUUCCUCGGGCCAGACUCGAAAUUUAGAGGAUAAGCGCCGGGUUGGUGGUCGUGAUCCUGCCCUGCGACGAAAAUUAAGUCAUGACUAAGCAUGUAGAAAGCUUAUCAGUUCCGCGUUUGGACGAGGGUUCAACCCCCUCCAGCUCCACA
rnacentral:tmRNA from 1 species